rfam:Ricinus communis cultivar Hale ctg_1100012362705, whole genome shotgun sequence.
UCUAUUAAAAGAUAACGCAGGUGUCCUAAGAUGAGCUCAACGAGAACAAAAAUCUCGUGUGGAAUAAAAGGGUAAAAGCUCAACCUAUUCUCAAACUUUAAAUAGGUAGGACGACACGACUGCUUCGUUGAGCCAGGCCACGGAAUCGAGAUCUCCAAGUGGGCCAUUUUUGGUAAGCAGAACUGGCGAUGCGGGAUGAACCGGAAGCCAGGUUACGUUGCCCAACUGCUCGCUAACCUAGAACCCAUAAAGGGUGUUAGUCGAUUAAGACAGCAGGACGGUGGUCAUGGAAGUCGAAAUCCACUGAGGAGUGUGUAACAACUCACCUGCUGAAUCAACUAGCCUCGAAAAUGGAUGGCGCUUAUGCACGCGACUUAUACCCGACCGUCGGGGUAAGAGCCAGGCCCCGAUGAGUAGGAGGGCACGACGGUCACUGCAAAACCCAGGGCGCGAGCCCGGGCGUACCGGCCAUUGGUG